rnacentral:misc_RNA from 1 species
GAUGAAGAACGCAGCGAAACGCGAUAUUUCUUGUGAAUUGCAGAAGUGAAUCAUCAGUUUUUGAACUCACAUUGCACUUUGGGGUAUCCCCCAAAGUAUAUUUGUUUGAGCGUUGUUUCUCUCUUGGAAUUGCUUUGCUCUUCUAAAAUUUCGAAUCAAAUUCGUUUGAAAAACAACACUAUUCAACCUCAGAUCAAGUAGGAUUACCCGCUGAACUUAAGCAUAUCAAUAAGCGGAGGA